CCUGGUUGAUCCUGCCAGUAGUCAUAUGCUUGUCUCAAAGAUUAAGCCAUGCAUGUCUCAGUGCAAGCCGUCUAGUACGGUGAAACCGCGAAAGGCUCAUUAAAUCAGUUAUGGUUCCUUAGAUCGUACCCACGUUACUUGGAUAACUGUGGUAAUUCUAGAGCUAAUACAUGCCGACAGAGUUCCGACCAACUGUGCGGAUUUGGCGGCAGCUUCGGCUGUCGUCGCCGUACGGUUCGGAAGGAACGCUUUUAUUAGAUCAAAACCGGCUAAACGGCGGUUUCGCUUCCGAGCGUCUCCGUCGUAAGCGGCCCGCGCAAAGAUUUGGUGACUCUGAAUAACUUCGAGCUGAUCGCACGGUCCUCGUACCGGCGACGUAUCUUUCAAAUGUCUGCCUUAUCAACUGUCGACGGUAGGUUCGACGCCUACCGUGGUGGUAACGGGUAACGGGGAAUCAGGGUUCGAUUCCGGAGAGGGAGCCUGAGAAACGGCUACCACAUCCAAGGAAGGCAGCAGGCGCGCAAAUUACCCACUCCCAGCUCGGGGAGGUAGUGACGAAAAAUAACGAUACGGGACUCAUUUGAGGCCCCGUAAUCGGAAUGAGUACACUUUAAAACCUUGGUCACACGAGGAUCAAUUGGAGGGCAAGUCUGGUGCCAGCAGCCGCGGUAAUUCCAGCUCCAAUAGCGUAUAUUAAAGUUGUUGCAGUUAAAAAGCUCGUAGUUGGACUUCUGGGAGGAUGCCAAUGUCCGCUUGUUAGCGUGUGCAGCGGCGUCCUUCCAUCCUUCUGUUAACGUUUCUUGGUAUUCACUUACUGGUUUCGGGCUCAGAUAUUUUACCUUGAGAAAAUUAGAGUGUUUCAGGCAGGCUUGCGCCGGAAUACAUUAGCAUGGAAUAAUAGAAUAGGACUUUAGUCUCCUUUGUUGGUUUGAGGGACUGAAGUAAUGAUUAAUAGGGAUAGUUGGGGGCAUUAGUAUUUAAUUGUCAGAGGUGAAAUUCUCGGAUUUGUUAAAGACUAACUUAUGCGAAAGCAUUUGCCAAGGAUGUUUUCAUUAAUCAAGAACGAAAGUUAGGG
rnacentral:rRNA from 1 species